rnacentral:sRNA from 1 species
AUUCCUCCAAACGAGUUUUGAUGACAGU